AAGCAAAACCAAUUUAUGGUGCCAACAAAAGCUUCAUCAAUGAAAGGCAACUACAAUUCUCAAAAGCUUCACACACUCUUAAUCAAGACAGUGUGAAGCAAAACCAAUUUAUGGUGCCAAUAAGAGCUUCAUCAAUGGAGGGCCACCACAACUCUCAAAAGCUUCACACAUUCUUGAUCAAGACAGUGUGAAGCAAAAC
rnacentral:lncRNA from 1 species